rnacentral:ncRNA from 1 species
AUGAAGGCUUUGAUGAGGAAUAGUACUUCUACCGCUACAUUUUAGAGAGCAGACGGUCAGUGCAAGUCUGUAAUAGCGUCGAACGAACUCGCCUUUGAGCCUGUAUUGGUGAAUACUUGUAGCUGAUACCGUACUCCGCGUUAAGGAAUCAAGUUGGACGGCGCAGUCCGUCAAUUUGGGUGGUACCGCGGGAAACUAUACAGACUCUCGUCCCUUUU